GUAGGUGAACCUGCGGAAGGAUCAUUAACGCGCAGGCCGGAGGCUGGCCCCCCACGAUAGGGCCAAACGUCCGUCAGGGGUGAGCAGAUGUGCGCCGGCCGUACCGCCCCAUUCUUGUCUACAUUACUCGGUUGCCUCGGCGGGCCGCGCUCUCCCAGGAGAGCCGUUCGGCGAGCCUCUCUUUAGUGGCUAAACGCUGGACCGCGCCCGCCGGAGGACAGACGCAAAAAAAUUCUUUCAGAAGAGCUGUCAGUCUGAGCGUUAGCAAGCAAAAAUCAGUUAAAACUUUCAACAACGGAUCUCUUGGUUCCGGCAUCGAUGAAGAACGCAGCGAAAUGCGAUAAGUAAUGUGAAUUGCAGAAUUCCGUGAAUCAUCGAAUCUUUGAACGCACAUUGCGCCCCCUGGCAUUCCGGGGGGCAUGCCUGUUCGAGCGUCAUUUCAGCCCCUCAAGCCCGGCUUGUGUGAUGGACGACCGUCCGGCGCCCCCGUCUUUGGGGGUGCGGGACGCGCCCGAAAAGCAGUGGCCAGGCCGCGAUCCGGCUUCCUAGGCGAAUGGGCAACAAACCAGCGCCUCCGGACCGGCCGCCCGGCCUCAAAUCUGUUUUAACUUUACGGUGAACCGGUACGAGUG
rnacentral:misc_RNA from 1 species